AUUGAACGCUGGCGGCAUGCCUUACACAUGCAAGUCGAACGGCAGCACGGGAGCAAUCCUGGUGGCGAGUGGCGAACGGGUGAGUAAUAUAUCGGAACGUGCCCAGUCGUGGGGAUAACGUAGCGAAAGCUACGCUAAUACCGCAUACGAUCUACGGAUGAAAGCGGGGGAUCGCAAGACCUCGCGCGAUUGGAGCGGCCGAUAUCAGAUUAGGUAGUUGGUGAGGUAAAGGCUCACCAAGCCGACGAUCUGUAGCUGGUCUGAGAGGACGACCAGCCACACUGGGACUGAGACACGGCCCAGACUCCUACGGGAGGCAGCAGUGGGGAAUUUUGGACAAUGGGCGCAAGCCUGAUCCAGCAAUGCCGCGUGCAGGAUGAAGGCCUGGUGUAACU
rnacentral:rRNA from 1 species